GGAGAGGUAACGAUGUCGACUUGGAGGUUGUUCCCUUGAGGAGUGGCUUCCGGAGCUAACGCGUUAAGUCGACCGCCUGGGGAGUACGGCCGCAAGGUUAAAACUCAAAUGAAUUGACGGGGGCCCGCACAAGCGGUGGAGCAUGUGGUUUAAUUCGAUGCAACGCGAAGAACCUUACCUACUCUUGACAUCCAGGGAAUUUGGCAGAGAUGCUUUGGUGCCUUCGGGAACCCUGAGACAGGUGCUGCAUGGCUGUCGUCAGCUCGUGUUGUGAAAUGUUGGGUUAAGUCCCGCAACGAGCGCAACCCUUAUCCUUUGUUGCCAGCGAUUCGGUCGGGAACUCAAAGGAGACUGCCGGUGAUAAACCGGAGGAAGGUGGGGAUGACGUCAAGUCAUCAUGGCCCUUACGAGUAGGGCUACACACGUGCUACAAUGGCGCAUACAAAGAGAAGCGACCUCGCGAGAGCAAGCGGACCUCACAAAGUGCGUCGUAGUCCGGAUCGGAGUCUGCAACUCGACUCCGUGAAGUCGGAAUCGCUAGUAAUCGUGGAUCAGAAUGCCACGGUGAAUACGUUCCCGGGCCUUGUACACACCGCCCGUCACACCAUGGGAGUGGGUUGCAAAAGAAGUAGGUAGCUUAACCUUCGGGAGGGCGCUUACCACUUUGUGAUUCAUGACUGGGGUGAAGUCGUAAAAGGGGUACCCUAAA
rnacentral:rRNA from 1 species